UACGUAGGGUGCGAGCGUUGUCCGGAAUCAUUGGGCGUAAAGAGCGUGUAGGCGGCCAUGUAGGUCCGUUGUGAAAACUCGAGGCUCAACCUCGAGACGCCGAUGGAAACCAUGUGGCUAGAGUCCGGAAGAGGAGAGUGGAAUUCCUGGUGUAGCGGUGAAAUGCGCAGAUAUCAGGAGGAACACCGGUGGCGAAGGCGGAUCUCUGGGCCAUUACUGACGCUGAGGAGCGAAAGCGUGGGGAGCGAACAGG
rnacentral:rRNA from 1 species